GCCAGUCAUUUGUUUGUGUAAUUUAUCUGACAGCCAAUCUGAUAUUGUUUCUUUUAUUACAGUCAGUAAAAAUAAGUAAAUGGGCCUUUUGUGGCAACAUUUUAAUGAGGAACUUGCUCACCUUUGUCACAAAGUACUUUUGGUUGGGUUUAGCCCAGAAAGAGGCUAGGGGGAUGGGCACUGCUGAAUCUGACUGCAUAAAAUGAUAUGUUGUUUCAUGUCAUGGGAUUUCAAAGCACCUGAUGAGAGCAUGUGCUCUUGAGGAAAAACCCAGCUACUGGUAUAUAACAUCAAAAUAUCAAAUAUUUCUUCAUCGUCUACACUAUGCUUGACCAGACUAUUGAAUUCCUUAAGAUAAUAAGAACAUCUUUUAACACAAGAUAUUAGUAAGGCAGAAGUACUUAAGGCAUUAGUAAGGUGCAAAUUAAAGCUGCCUCCUUUUACCUAUUUUGGAGAUCAAAGCAAUGCUUGCUCAGGAUUAAUUGCAGAAGAGGUAAAAUAUGUCUCAGAUGUGUAAAUAAUUUACACAUCUGAGAUUUAUAAUGAUUAUACAUCUCAGACAUACAGUUUGUGUCUCAGACAUUAUUAUUAUUUACAGGUCAAGAUAAAUACUGACAGAUAAUAUCGAACUUAUUAAGUAAUUUAAAGAUACAUAGGACUAUUUUUUGGUAUUUAGUUUGUGUAUAAUUACUUCUCAGAUCUAUUAUACAAUCAUGUAAUACUGACAGUGUUAUUGGUCUCCAGAGAGAAAUGCAGCCAGGCUUAAGUACUCAGGCAUUAGUAAGGUGCAAAUUAAAGCUGUAUCCUUUAACCUAUUUUUGGAAAUCAAAGCAAUGCCUGCUCAGGAGUAAUCAUAGAAGAGGUCCAAUAUUUCUCAGAUGUGUAAAUAAUUUACACAUCUGAGAUUUAAAAUGAUUAUAGUUCUCAGACAUACAGUAUGUGUCUCAGACAUGUUAUUAUUAUUUACAGAUCAAAAUAAACACUUAUCUGACAGAAAAUAUCAGACUUAUAAGAUACAUUGAA